rnacentral:rRNA from 1 species
UAGGGAAUCUUCGGCAAUGGACGAAAGUCUGACCGAGCAACGCCGCGUGAGUGAAGAAGGUUUUCGGAUCGUAAAACUCUGUUGUUAGAGAAGAACAAGGACGUUAGUAACUGAACGUCCCCUGACGGUAUCUAACCAGAAAGCCACGGCUAACUACGUGCCAGCAGCCGCGGUAAUACGUAGGUGGCAAGCGUUGUCCGGAUUUAUUGGGCGUAAAGCGAGCGCAGGCGGUUUCUUAAGUCUGAUGUGAAAGCCCCCGGCUCAACCGGGGAGGGUCAUUGGAAACUGGGAGACUUGAGUGCAGAAGAGGAGAGUGGAAUUCCAUGGGUAGCGGUGAAAUGCGUAGAUAUAUGGAGGAACACCAGUGGCGAAGGCGGCUCUCUGGUCUGUAACUGACGCUGAGGCUCGAAAGCGUGGGUAGCAAACAGG